rnacentral:tRNA from 1 species
GGAUCCGUAGCGCAGACUGGUUAGCGCGCACGACUGAUAAUCGUGAGGCCCGGAGUUCAAAUCUCCGCGGGUCCACCA